UACGUAGGGUGCGAAGCGUUAAUCGGAAUUACUGGGCGUAAAGCGUGCGCAGGCGGUUAUGCAAGACAGAGGUCGAAAUCCCCGGGCUCAACCUGGGAACUGCCUUUGUGACUGCAUAGCUAGAGUACGGUAGAGGGGAUGGAAUUCCACGUGUAGCAGUGAAAUGCGUAGAGAUGUGGAGGAAUACCGAUGGACGAAGGCGCCUCC
rnacentral:rRNA from 1 species